UACGUAGGGGGCAAGCGUCAUCCGGAUUUACUGGGUGUAAAGGGAGCGUAGACGGCGAAGCAAGUCUGAAGUGAAAGGACGGGGCCCAACCCCGGAACUGCUUUGGAAACUGUUUGGCUAGAGUGCGGGAGGGGUAAGCGGAAUUCCUAGUGUAGCGGUGAAAUGCGUAGAUAUUAGGAGGAACACCGGUGGCGAAGGCGGCUUACUGGACCGUAACUGACGUUGAGGCUCGAAAGUGUGGGUAGCAAAC
rnacentral:rRNA from 1 species